rnacentral:rRNA from 1 species
UACGUAGGGGGCAAGCGUUGUCCGGAUUUAUUGGGCGUAAAGAGCGUGUAGGCGGUCAGGUAGGUCCGUUGUGAAAACUCGAGGCUCAACCUCGAGACGCCGAUGGAAACCAUCUGACUAGAGUCCGGAAGGGGCGAGUGGAAUUCCUGGUGUAGCGGUGAAAUGCGCAGAUAUCAGGAGGAACACCUAUGGCGAAGGCAGCUCGCUGGGACGGUACUGACGCUGAGGCGCGAAAGCGUGGGGAGCGAACAGG